rnacentral:rRNA from 1 species
AUUGAACGCUGGCGGCAUGCUUUACACAUGCAAGUCGAACGGCAGCGCGGGCUUCGGCCUGGCGGCGAGUGGCGAACGGGUGAGUAAUACAUCGGAACGUGCCCAGUAGUGGGGGAUAGCUCGGCGAAAGCCGGAUUAAUACCGCAUACGACCUGAGGGUGAAAGCGGGGGAUCUUCGGACCUCGCGCUAUUUGAUCGGCCGAUGGCAGAUUAGCUAGUUGGUGGGGUAAAGGCCUACCAAGGCGACGAUCUGUAGCUGGUCUGAGAGGACGACCAGCCACACUGGAACUGAGACACGGCCCAGACUCCUACGGGAGGCAGCAGUGGGGAAUUUUGGACAAUGGGCGAAAGCCUGAUCCAGCAAUGCCGCGUGUGUGAUGAAGGCCUUCGGGUUGUAAAGCACUUUUGGCGGGAACGAAAAGGACUGUGCCAAUACCACGGUUCGAUGACGGUACCCGCAGAAUAAGCACCGGCUAACUACGUG